CCUACGGGGGGCAGCAGUGAGGAAUAUUGGUCAAUGGACGAGAGUCUGAACCAGCCAAGUAGCGUGAAGGAUGACUGCCCUAUGGGUUGUAAACUUCUUUUAUAUGGGAAUCAAAUGUUCCACGUGUGGGAUUUUGUAUGUACCAUAUGAAUAAGGAUCGGCUAACUCCGUGCCAGCAGCCGCGGUAAUACGGAGGAUCCGAGCGUUAUCCGGAUUUAUUGGGUUUAAAGGGAGCGUAGGUGGGUUGUUAUGUCAGUUGUGAAAGUUUGCGGCUCAACCGUAAAAUUGCAGUUGAAACUGGCAGUCUUGAGUACAGUAGAGGUGGGCUGAAUCCGUAGUGUAUCGGUGAAAUGCGUAGAUAUCACGAAGAACUCCGAUUGCGAAGGCAGUUCACUGGACUGCAACUGACACUGAGGCUCGAAAGUGUGGGUAUCAAACAGGAGUAGAUACCACUGGUAGUC
rnacentral:rRNA from 1 species